AUGUCUGCAGGAGAGAGGCCAGCCUAUCAGAAUAUUAUCAGGAAGGCUUUAAAGGGGAAGACAGGAUAUAAACAGAAAAAGAUCAUUAUUCUAAGUGGUGUGUUUGACAACACCUCUUGGAUGACUAAAGAAAUGUCACAGAUUAGUUCAGUUGACCUGAAUUCAAGGUCAAGUGGAGGAGGAGGACAGGAGGACAGGAGGACAGGAGGAGGAGAGGAGGUGCAGGAAGAAGACGAAAAAGAGGAAGAGGAGGAGGCCACCAUCACAUUAGGUGAUUGAACUCAUUUAGGUUCGUGUUAGUAUAUACAAUAAUGUUUACCUUAUGAUGAAAUCAGCUAAAGACACAUUUCUCAGAUGCCCCUGUUAUUAAGCAAUGUGUGAGUAUAUAGCCAAAGAAUAGAAUAUUAUUAAGCAAAAAAAAAAUAUUGGUACAUGCUACAAUAUAGAUGAAUCUCAGAAAUAUGUUUAGUGAAAGAAGCCAGACAUAAAAGAACUCAAACUAUAAGAUUUCAUUUAUAUGAAAUUGGUAAAUGUAAUAUAUACAUAUAUAGAGAGAGAGAAAGAGAGAGAGAGAGAGAGUGCCCAAAAAG
rnacentral:lncRNA from 1 species